rnacentral:rRNA from 1 species
UACGGAGGGUGCGAGCGUUGUCCGGAAUCACUGGGCGUAAAGGGCGCGUAGGCGGCCUGAUAAGUAGGGGGUGAAAUCCUGCGGCUUAACCGCAGGGCUGCCUUCUAAACUGUCAGGCUGGAGCACAGUAGAGGCAGGUGGAAUUCCCGGUGUAGCGGUGGAAUGCGCAGAUAUCGGGAGGAACACCAAUGGCGAAGGCAGCUCGCUGGGACGGUACUGACGCUGAGACGCGAAAGCGUGGGGAGCAAACAGG